UAGGCUUAUUAGAUAGCCCAUAUACAGUGUCACACUUCAUUGAAGCUCGCUUGAACUCACGCUGUGUUCUAAUGUACCAGAACAGCAACUAGCUAGGAAUAGGAGGCACCGAGAAGUAGGGAGCUAUGACACCAUGUCUUCCGAGAUAUCUCAGACCAACAGACCGGGAGAGAAUCACGCUAUGUUCAAGAUGAUGAUCCACUGCGGGUGAGAUCAAGGGAUCGUGCAUGUAGUGAAGGCUUCGGUUGAGUCUCCAGAUUGGCCUCCUCCCUGUUUUUUAGAG
rnacentral:lncRNA from 1 species